CCUACGGGAGGCAGCAGUGGGGAAUUUUGCGCAAUGGGGGAAACCCUGACGCAGCAACGCCGCGUGAGUGAUGAAGGCUUUCGGGUCGUAAAGCUCUGUCUAGAGGGAAGAAAUGAUAUUUGGUUAAUACCCGGAUUUCUUGACGGUACCUCUGAAGGAAGCACCGGCUAACUCCGUGCCAGCAGCCGCGGUAAUACGGAGGGUGCAAGCGUUGUUCGGAUUUAUUGGGCGUAAAGCGCGUGUAGGCGGUUUGUUAAGUCUGAUGUGAAAGCCCUGGGCUCAACCUGGGAAGUGCAUUGGAAACUGGCAGACUUGAAUACGGGAGAGGGUAGUGGAAUUCCUAGUGUAGGAGUGAAAUCCGUAGAUAUUAGGAGGAACACCGGUGGCGAAGGCGGCUACCUGGACCGAUAUUGACGCUGAGACGCGAAAGCGUGGGGAGCAAACAGGAUUAGAUACCCUGGUAGUCCACGCCGUAAACGAUGAGUACUAGG
rnacentral:rRNA from 1 species